rnacentral:misc_RNA from 1 species
GCAAAAACUACAGAUGGACUGGCAAUAAGCUCACAUGCAAGCGACAGGCGCUUCUUUUCACCUCCACUAAUUCCACGAACUUUUGCAUCACCAAUGCGUGAAUCAGCACAACUGACCAAACCUGUUUUAAACAAUAGAUUGUUCACAUAUUCAUCUCUCUCUUCUAUUGAAGAUACGUCCUGUAGCUGCAGUUCAGCUGCAAGAGAGAGAGUUUCUCGAACAGUCAACUGGGAAAAGAAAAGAUCUUCUUGUCUAACAUAGGCAAACUUGUAUAUUUUGUUUGAAAAUGGCACCCCGUUGAUGUCCAAAAGACCAGACAAAUUCAACUUAGGUGAUGCUUUUGUUUGACCCGCCAGAACAUUGAGAAGAGUAGUCUUUCCUGAUCCUGAUGGACCCAUUAUUGCUAGCAAUCGACCAGGUUUGGCUUCUCCUGUCACAUUUUUUAGCAAAAAUCGCACCGUAUUUGUGGAUUUAUCAGAGAGCGAGCAAGUAAUAUUACUCCAUCUAAUAGUAACCGGAAGUACUUUUCCAGUAAUCGUAGCUUCGUCAUUUUCACUUCCUCUUUCACCGUCAUCAUCGAAAGCAUCUUCAUUCUCCGGUACAAUCGCCGGACCAGGAGAGGAGAAAAGUCUGAGCAGUAGCGCCGCCGCAACUGCCGCCAGUAACUGGCCAAUUCCGCCUCCUUUGCCGCCAAUCGGCAACAUUUUCUCCGUUCG